GUGCUUGCUUCAGCAGGACAUAUACUAAAAUUGAAACAAUACAGAGAAGAUUAGCAUGGCCCCUGCACAAGGAUGAUGCACAAAUUCGUAAAGUGUACCAUAUUUUU
ensembl:snRNA U6 U6 spliceosomal RNA